AUUGAACGCUGGCGGCAGGCCUAACACAUGCAAGUCGAACGAGAGGCGGACGGGAGAGUAAUGACUGGGAAACUGCAUGAUGGAGGGGGAUAACCAACGGAAACGGAAGCUAAUACCGCAUACCAUCGGAUGUGCCAAGAUGGGAUUAGCUAGUAGGUGGGGUAAAGGCUCACCUAGGCGACGAUCCCUAGCUGGUCUGAGAGGACGAACAGCCACACUGGAACUGAGACACGGUCCAGACUCCGUCGGGAGGCAGCAUUGGGGAAUAUUGCACAAUGGUCGCAAUCCGGAUGCAGCCAUGCCGCGUCUGUGAAGAAGGCCUUCGGGUUGUAAAGCACUUUCAGCUAGGAGGCGUUACUCGCAGAAGAAGCACCGGCUAACUCCGUGCCAGCAGCCGCGGUAAUUC
rnacentral:rRNA from 1 species